GUGCUCACUUCGGAAGCACAUAUACUAAAAUUGGAAUAAUACGGAGAAGAUUAACAUGGCCGCUGUGCAAGGAUGACAUGCAAAUUCGUGAAGCAUUCCAUAUUUUU
ensembl:snRNA U6 U6 spliceosomal RNA